UACGAAGGGGGCUAGCGUUGCUCGGAUUGACUGGGCGUAAAGGGCGCGUAGGCGGAUAGUACAGUCAGGCGUGAAAUUCCUGGGCUCAACCUGGGGGCUGCGUUUGAUACGUAUUGUCUGGAGUUCGGAAGAGGGUCGUGGAAUUCCCAGUGUAGAGGUGAAAUUCGUAGAUAUUGGGAAGAACACCGGUGGCGAAGGCGGCGGCCUGGUCCGAUACUGACGCUGAGGCGCGAAAGCGUGGGGAGCAAACAGG
rnacentral:rRNA from 1 species